GGUCCCAUUCCGAACCCGGAAGCUAAGCCUGCACACGCUGAUGGUACUGCAACCGGGAGGUUGUGGGAGAGUAAGUCACCGCCGACA
rnacentral:rRNA from 1 species